rnacentral:rRNA from 1 species
AGGAUGAACGCUGGCGGCGUGCGUAAUACAUACAAGUCGAGCGAAUGGAUUAAGAGCUUGCUCUUAUGCAGUUAGCGGCGGACGGGUGAGUAACACGUGGGUAACCUGCCCAUAAGAAUGGGAUAACUCCGGGAAACCGGGGGUAAUACCGGAUAACAUUUUGAACCGCAUGGUUCGAAAUUGAAAGG